CCGUCGAUAGCCCAGUUGGUAGAGCGGUGGACUGUAGAUCCAUAGGUCGCUGGUUCGAAUCCGGCACGACGGA
rnacentral:tRNA from 1 species